rnacentral:rRNA from 1 species
CAGUCGCCACGGGAAUACGGAGGGAGCUAGCGUUGUUCGGAAUUACUGGGCGUAAAGCGCACGUAGGCGGCUUUGUAAGUUAGAGGUGAAAGCCUGGAGCUCAACUCCAGAAUUGCCUUUAAGACUGCAUCGCUUGAAUCCAGGAGAGGUGAGUGGAAUUCCGAGUGUAGAGGUGAAAUUCGUAGAUAUUCGGAAGAACACCAGUGGCGAAGGCGGCUCACUGGACUGGUAUUGACGCUGAGGUGCGAAAGCGUGGGGAGCAAACAGGAUUAGAUACCCGCGUAGUCCCUGUCUCUUAUAC